AGCGAGGUAGAGCAGUAGUAGCUUGCUUGGUUCAUACCCAAGAGGUCGCCAGUGCAAAUCCGGCCCUCGCUUCCA
rnacentral:tRNA from 1 species